rnacentral:tRNA from 5 species
AAAAAAAUCCGUUGGCUUUAUUGACCGUGAGGGUUCAAGUCCCUCUACCCCCA